CUUUUAAUCUUUAUCUGAGAGAAAAAAGAAAAGGCUAAAAUUACAUUAUUAGCUUCAGGUACAAUGUUAAGACUCUUUUGUAUCUUAAUAGGAGCCUAUUAAUAAAAACCUAUUGGUAAGUAUUGCAGCAUCACUUACAAAUACAUAUUAACAAAGUACAGGUUUUUCAACUAAAAACUGCACUGAUUUAAAGGGUGUAGUAUUUCCUUCAAUAAGUUUAAUAAAGAAAUUCUGCUGAACUGCAUGCAUGCCGUGUUGAGAGAUGUUAAAAGUAUGGCCCUGUGCAUUGCCUCACCAGCUGCCAUAGUCCCACUGAACUCCUCCCAUGUACCAAAAACCAAUGUUCUGAUUUGCCUGCAGAUUCCUGAGAGCACAUCAUUUAGUGCUAAUGACCAGGGAGCGAGAUUCUGCCCUUUCAAAUAAUAUGCUUCUGUCUCAGUUUUCCUCCCAGUUUAGAGGACCUUCUAACUGAUAGAGUCUUUGCAAUGAACUGUGUGUAUGUGUACAGUUUCUACCAGAAAUUCCAGACUUGUCAAUUUUGAAGUCAAAUAGACAAAAUUAUAAUUUUUAUAAUGGUUAUUUCUUUGUUGUUUGUCUUUCCUUUUACCUAAAUGCUUGCAUAUUUAUAGACAAAGACAAUAAAAAAUAUUUUUUAACAUAUGUACCA
rnacentral:lncRNA from 1 species